UACGAAGGAUCCAAGCGUUGUCCGGAUUUACUGGGUUUAAAGGGUGCGUAGGCGGACUAUUAAGUCAGUGGUGAAAGCUUGCAGCUUAACUGUAAAAUUGCCAUUGAAACUGAUUGUCUCGAGUAUGGUUGAGGUGACUGGAAUAUAUCAUGUAGCGGUGAAAUGCUUAGAUAUGAUAUAGAACACCAAUUGCGAAGGCAGGUCACUAAACCAUAACUGACGCUGAGGCACGAAAGCGUGGGGAUCAAAC
rnacentral:rRNA from 1 species